GCUCGUGUGGUGUAGCCAGGUCCAUCAUUGCGGGUUUUCAUCCCNUCGACCCGGGUUCGAAUCCCGGCACGAGCACCA
rnacentral:tRNA from 1 species